UGCGUAGGUGGGCAAGUAAGUCAGUGGUGAAAUCUCCGGGCUUAACCCGGAAACUGCCAUUGAUACUAUUUGUCUUGAAUACUGUGGAGGUCAGCGGAAUAUGUCAUGUAGCGGUGAAAUGCUUAGAUAUGACAUAGAACACCAAUUGCGAAGGCAGCUGGCUACACAAAUAUUGACACUGAGGCACGAAAGCGGUGGGGAUCAAACA
rnacentral:rRNA from 1 species